rnacentral:lncRNA from 1 species
AGACGCCCCGAGAGACCUAGCUGUGGCAGCCAAGGCCGGGCCGAGGCAUUGAAGCAGUGGUUAACCUCUCUUCCCUAUUCCGCCUGGAGACCUGAUGGCAGCGGCGGCCUUUCCCAGCCCUGAACCCGCCGGGUCUCUCGGCCCAAUCCUGUCGGGCCUAGACAAAGCCCCUGCCCAGCCGCGAGGACUCAGAGACUUUGGGUGGCGGUGGGUGUGUCGGGCCAUAAUAAUGGCGGCCACUUGAGCGUCACGUGAUGGAGCCGCUGGGGUGUGGAGGGUCCAUGAAGGCGGUCACGGACGCUGGCUCAGCUAGCUGCCUUCUCAGGUCACAGAGCCAUGCAGAUCCAGGUCCUGGGUGACCACUCUGUCCUGAAUGGGCAAGAGAGGUACCUAGUCCUGACAACAAGGGACAAUGGUCUUAACGGGACUGGAAGGUGAGCGGAGUCCCUACAACAACGAGUGGAAUGGUUAGCGGCGCUUGCUCUAUGCUCUACCAGACCUUGCUGUCGGAAGAGAGAAAUGGCAGAAUGACAUGCCCCAUUUGGCCCACUGGAAAUGCCCAUCAUCUUUUGGGAAGAUUUACUGGCUGUUUAUAGAAUGCCUGCCUAUAUAAUAUGAAAAAGCUGCUCUCAAGUUCUCCCACCCAAAACCUUUUAAAAGAAAGCAUUUGCAACAUCCAGCCCUUCUAGAGUAAAGAGGUUGCCGACGUAUGAAGUAGAGUUAGAAAAUCACACACCUUGCAAAUUCUCAUUUGUUUAAAAAGAAGUCAUAGAAAAUGUCUUCUGGAGUUGACUUUUUGAAAUGGAGUUAUUAGACCACUUCUGGAAGCAACACGUCCACGUUUGUUCAGUGGGCUAGAGGACAUGGAGCAGAAGACCUGAGAAGGAAGAGAAGAGGAACAUAUGUCCAAAACUCCCCUUUCUGCCUGAAGUUAGAAGACUACAUGUUGAAAGUUUGCUUUGAGCUUGGUUCUUCUUAAACAUGCAGCUUCAAAUCAAUAUCUGUCUGCUCAUAAGUUCAACCAAACCAGGACUGCCACUGGCUGCUAAAGGGAAGAAAAGGCUCCAUAAAGAAUUCCGGUGUGCCUCCUUCCCCAGCAGCCAUUCUGCUGUUUCUAUGGAAACAUUCACCAGAUAGCAGCAUGCUGUACUGUGCAAGUGAAGAAGAAGGCAUCUUCCUUUCAUCACCACAUCUAGAGUGUGACCACUUCACAGAAUGAAAGAAUGUGGUGAACACAGUUCUUUAUUCUGACAGAUAAAUCGUUCAAGAGAAAGAGAAAAGAGCCUUGGGAAAAGGUUGAAUUGGUACAUGGUCUCAGCAUGAAGGCUAGGGGCCAGAUGCCAGUGACAUUUUCUUGGACUUCCUAGCCUCUAGAACCAUGACCCAAAUCAACUUAUAUUGUUUAUAAA